GAUGAACGCUAGCUACAGGCUUAACACAUGCAAGUCGAGGGGCAGCACUAGGUAGCAAUACUGAGGUGGCGACCGGCGCACGGGUGCGUAACGCGUAUCCAACCUUCCCGUUACUCAGGGAUAGCCUUCCGAAAGGGAGAUUAAUACCUGAUGGUGUUGAAAUUCCGCAUGUUAUUUCAACUAAAGAUUUAUCGGUAACGGAUGGGGAUGCGUGACAUUAGGUAGUAGGCGGGGUAACGGCCCACCUAGCCUUCGAUCAUUAGGGGUUCUGAGAGGAAGGUCCCCCACACUGGAACUGAGACACGGUCCAGACUCCUACGGGAGGCAGCAGUGAGGAAUAUUGGUCAAUGGGCGAGAGCCUGAACCAGCCAAGUAGCGUGAAGGAAGACUGCCCUAUGGGUUGUAAACUUCUUUUGUUCGGGAAUAAAGUGCAGUAUGUAUACUGUUUUGUAUGUACCGUUCGAAUAAGCAUCGGCUAAUUCCGUG
rnacentral:rRNA from 1 species